rnacentral:rRNA from 1 species
GUCCAUGGCACGGAGAGUCACGCCGCACUGAGUGAUGAAGGUGUAUGUCGGAUCGUAAAGCUCUGUUGUUAGGGAAGAACAAGUGCCGUUCAAAUAGGGCGGCACCUUGACGGUACCUAACCAGAAAGCCACGGCUAACUACGUGCCAGCAGCCGCGGUAAUACGUAGGUGGCAAGCGUUGUCCGGAAUUAUUGGGCGUAAAGGGCUCGCAGGCGGUUUCUUAAGUCUGAUGUGAAAGCCCCCGGCUCAACCGGGGAGGGUCAUUGGAAACUGGGGAACUUGAGUGCAGAAGAGGAGAGUGGAAUUCCACGUGUAGCGGUGAAAUGCGUAGAGAUGUGGAGGAACACCAGUGGCGAAGGCGACUCUCUGGUCUGUAACUGACGCUGAGGAGCGAAAGCGUGGGGAGCGAACAGGAUUAGAUACCCUGGUAGUCCACGCCGUAAACGAUGAGUGCUAAGUGUUAGGGGGUUUCCGCCCCUUAGUGCUGCAGCUAACGCAUUAAGCACUCCCCCGGGGGGGAGAAU